GAGUCUAUACAUGAACCCAUAAAUACUUAGUUUUGCAUUUCUUUCCAAGAACUGUAGAUCAUUUCUAUGGAUUCUUAGGUCCUAGUGGAAAAGCCAAGGGUUAAGCCCCUCAGCUUGCUAACGUCCAUUAAUUGUCAACUAAGGAGUAAAUGAUCCCCCAUUUGUUCUUGGUCUAAUGACAACUUGCAUAGUGUUACUAAAACUCAAGAAAGGUUCACUGAAGAAAAUACGAAGUGACGUAAACGGCGGGGAACAGAACAUGAGGAAUGAUAGAAUCCUCCAAGCCGAGUGCUUGUGGCUUCGUUUAAUUCACCAGGGGUGUAGGAAAGUGAAACAUGGGUUUGUGUCCUUUUUCAUUCUGAGAAGUGACUGUGUACAUCCUCAGCUGGCUGGAUAACUAUUCUUAGUGUGAGAGCAAGCAGUAGUCCCAGGAGCAGGCAUGAGCUCCACAGCCUAAUGUGUGUGCAUCCACUCAUUGAGCUGACAUUUGUAAUUCACCAUGCCUGGUGCUGGGGAGGCAGCGACAGGGCAGACAAGUUCCCUGUUCACGGGGAGCUCCGCUGGUCACCAGCAAGGUGCAAUAAAGAGGGAGAGGUGACAGGAGAGACGUGAGUGUAGGGACAACAAGCACCCAGAGGGAGUUUGCAUUUCCACCUCGGAGGGUGGGCCCUGGCAGCUGUUGUAGAGGUGGUGACUUGGGAAUGAUCAAGGCUGAAGAGCAGAAUUAGUAGACACAGACGCAGUCACACAACUACUCAGCAAAUGCCACUGGUUUCUUGAAUGUAGGCACUACUGGACAUGGGACAGAGGAUGGAGAGCAAUAUGCCCAAACAGGAAGUUGGGACUUUACUCCACAGGUAGCAGUUAGUUAUUGUCGGUAGGAGAAGAGAUGUGUUUUAGGAAGAUCACUCCAUGGUGUGAUAGUCAGAAUAUUCUGCCCACCACCACCAAGACGGCCGUAAUCUAAUUCCUAGAACUCUUGACUAUGUGGCAUUACAUGACAAAAGGGACUUUGCAGACACACUCACAUUAAGGACCUUGGGAUAGGGAGAUCCUUUUGGAUAAUCUGGGUGGAUCUAAUGUAAUCACGAUGGUCCAUAAAGUGGCAAAGGGAAGCACAAGAGGACAGCAAGAUGACAGAGGAAAAAGGUCAAGGAGAUUUGACAUUGCUGGCUUUGAAGAAGUUGGCUUUGAAGGGGCCCAUGAGUCAAGGAGUGAAAGCUGGGCAAGUCCAGGAAGCAGGCUUUCCUGCAGAGCCCCAGGAGGAGACACGGUUCUGUAGAUACCUGGAUUUUAGCCCUGUAAGACCUGUGUGGACUUCUGCAUUCCUGAGCUGUAAGAUAAUACGUUUGUGCUGUUUCAGGCCCCCAACUCCAUAAAUUUGUUUUGGCAGCAGAAAACUAGUCCAAAUGGCUCGGGGAGGACCAACGUGGGAGGGAGCAUAGCUCCCAGAAGGAGAGAGCUCCUCAGUGGGAACCCAGUCAGCAGCAGUGGAAAGGGAGGAAGUCACAGGGCACCAUCAGAUAGGACUUGUGCACCUGGCUGGGGUGCUGGUUCAGAAGAAAGGUGCCUGGGGAAGGACAAGCGAUGUAGGACUAGCAGCAGACUUGGGGAAGGUGAGAGUUUAGCUUUAAACAUUUUAAGUUGAGAAUGACCUUGAGGCUUUGAGGAACAGAUAAUUCAAUAUCUAGGUCUGUGGCUCAGGCAAACUGAAAUUUCGGAGUCAUGAGUUUAAAGGUGGCAGCGGAUGCCCAGAGCCAGGCUGACAGCCCUGAUGGAGAAGAGGCUGCAGGAGCCAAGGGCCUGAGGGGAGACCACAGCAGGCAGCUCAGGGUCAGAUGGGAGAAACAUUCCAAAGGCAGCCUUCCAGACUGUGGCUUUUCUCCUGUGGAAGUGGUGAGGGCUUCCACAGAAGAGUGCUGUGAAGGGCCCCUCGGCCUGUCUCGGGGCUCAGGGAAGAGUUCUUUUUUCUUUUUUUGAGAAAGAGUCUUGCUCUGUUGCCAGGCACCAGGCUGGAGUGCAGUGGUGCAAUCUCGGCUCACUGCAAUCUCUGCCUCCUGGAUUCAAGCAAUUCUCCUGCCUCAGCCUUCCGAGUAGCUGGGAUUACAGGGACAUGCCACCACAACCAGCUAAUUUUUGUAUUUUUUUUAGUAGAGACUGGUUUUCACCAUGUUGGCCAGGAUGGUCUCGAUCUCUUGACCUCGUGAUCUGCCCGCCUCGGCCUCCCAAAGUGCUGGGAUUACAGGUGUGAGCCACCGUGCCCGGCCAGGGAAGAAUUCUUAAAGGAGACAAUACUUAGCUAAAUCCUGAAGGAUGAACUUGGAGAAAAGAGGGGAAAGGCCAUUCCAGACAAAGGGAGGAGCAUAUAAAAAGGCCCCUGUACAGCACAGUGUGUGCCAAGAUCGAGAGGCAGCUGGAGAAGGCUGGCGAGUAAAGCAAGAGGACGUGUGUGGGCACAAAGAUAAAUAUUCAAGCUGAAGAUUCAAGUCCUGUUGCUGAUGAGGACUUCUAUGCAGAAAUGGUCAGCAAAUUAUCUUUUCACACCAAGGACAAACUAUUGAGCAUGAAGAACUCCAUGCUUCAGGAUAGCUACGGUGAAGCUAUCUACAUCAUGAUGUGCAAGUGGUACUUUGCGUUGGAUUUAUUAACUCAGCAAAAGUCUACGCAUACUCUAUUAACUAGCUAUAAAUGAGCUUUAAUAAACAUAUGCAAUAAAAAUCUUGAUUAUUGCACAUGUCAUACGUUUAUUAAACUCUUAUAAACUACAAA